UGGGGAAUAUUGGACAAUGGGCGAAAGCCUGAUCCAGCCAUGCCGCGUGUGUGAAGAAGGUCUUCGGAUUGUAAAGCACUUUAAGUUGGGAGGAAGGGCAUUAACCUAAUACGUUAGUGUUUUGACGUUACCGACAGAAUAAGCACCGGCUAACUCUGUGCCAGCAGCCGCGGUAAUACAGAGUGUGCAAGCGUUAAUCGGAAUUACUGGGCGUAAAGCGCGCGUAGGUGGUUUGUUAAGUUGGAUGUGAAAUCCCCGGGCUCAACCUGGGAACUGCAUUCAAAACUGACUGACUAGAGUAUGGUAGAGGGUGGUGGAAUUUCCUGUGUAGCGGUGAAAUGCGUAGAUAUAGGAAGGAACACCAGUGGCGAAGGCGACCACCUGGACUAAUACUGACACUGAGGUGCGAAAGCGUGGGGAGCAAACA
rnacentral:rRNA from 1 species